UACGGAGGGUGCGAGCGUUGUUCGGAAUCACUGGGCGUAAAGCGCGUGUAGGCGGCCUCCUAAGUCUGGUGUGAAAGCCCGGGGCUUACCCCCGGAAGGGCACUGGAAACUGGGAGGCUGGAGUACCGGAGAGGAGGGUGGAAUUCCUGGUGUAGCGGUGAAAUGCGUAGAUAUCAGGAGGAACACCGGUGGCGAAGGCGGCCCUCUAAACGGAUACUGACGCUGAGACGCGAAAGCGUGGGGAGCAAACAGG
rnacentral:rRNA from 1 species